rnacentral:rRNA from 1 species
CACGUAGGGGGCGAGCGUUGUCCGGAUUUAUUGGGCGUAAAGGGCUCGUAGGCGGUUUGUCACGUCGGGCGUGAAAACUCAGGGCUCAACCCUGAGCGUGCGUUCGAUACGGGCAGACUAGAGGUAUGCAGGGGAGAACGGAAUUCCUGGUGUAGCGGUGGAAUGCGCAGAUAUCAGGAGGAACACCGGUGGCGAAGGCGGUUCUCUGGGCAUUACCUGACGCUGAGGAGCGAAAGCAUGGGGAGCGAACAGG